AACUCUAUUCAACCAUUCUGUCGGGUCAUCACCAAAAAAGUGGAGAAGUCGAGCUUCGCCAUGCGGGAAUGGAACGAUGGUUGGCUUCCUUCGGUUCUCUCAGGGUAGUCUUUUCUGUUUGUUUGUGCAGGAAGUGGGUGAUUCAUAUGGUGGCUGCUGGAUCCUUCUCAAUUAUGUACGAGAGUAUCAGUCAACCGUCGAAUAGCGUCCUCCAAUUGGUGGAGUUUGUCAACUGUACCCAGCUCCAUUCGACUCAACUAAUCUUGCAUAUUGCCAAAACUAGUCUCCAGGUUUUCGAUCCUCUCUUUGUUGGUUGACAUAAACUCUUCUCUGAUACCACUGAUGCGGUCUCAAUCAAAACAGUAAGAAAGAAUGAAAAUUGUUCUCUACUUAAGGUGCGAAGUAAACAACAUGUUCUGAAUUUUACUAUCUACCUUCUUGCUAAACGGUGGCUAGAUUUAUAGGCAACUGAAGCCUACAAUUCCGUCAUUACAACUGAUAGAGGAAAAACUAAAAAAGAAAGAUCAGUAAAACUAAAGUAGUGGAGUGGGUGUGGAUCGUGUGCAGGUGCGGAGUGGAGUGAGGUGGGUCGUAUACGGGUGCGUUAGAAUAUGGCAGAUUGUUCAGUGAGAUGGUUGCUGCAUUUUCUCAGACUUCUCUGAAUCGN
rnacentral:lncRNA from 1 species